rnacentral:rRNA from 1 species
UACGUAGGGGGCAAGCGUUGUCCGGAAUCAUUGGGCGUAAAGCGCGUGUAGGCGGUUCGGUAAGUCUGCUGUGAAAGUCCAGGGCUCAACCCUGGGAUGCCGGUGGAUACUGUCGGACUAGAGUACGGAAGAGGCGAGUGGAAUUCCUGGUGUAGCGGUGGAAUGCGCAGAUAUCAGGAGGAACACCGAUGGCGAAGGCAGCUCGCUGGGACGGUACUGACGCUGAGGCGCGAAAGCGUGGGUAGCAAACAGG